UCUAAGCGAAGUGAUGAGAAAAAAUCAUCUCUCACGCUAACCGUUUCAUAAUAUAUACCUAUCAAUGCAUUUGUGAUCAGUUUAUGCAUCAUCUAUUUUGGGGGUUUAUAUCAUGGGAAAAAUUUGGCCCGUCGCUGCUACACGGUAAAGCCACAAAUUUGGCCCGUCGCUGGUACACGGUAAAGCCACAAAUUUGGCCCGUCGCUGGUACACGGUAAAGCCACAAAUUUGGCCCGUCGCUGGUACACGGUAAAGCCACAAAUUUGGCCCGUCGCUGGUACACGGUAAAGCAACAAAUUUGGUCCGUCGCUGGUACACGGUAAAGCAACAAAUUUGGCCCGUCGCUGGUACACGGUAAAGCCACAAAUUUGGUCCGUCGCUGGUACACGGUAAAGCCACAAAUUUGGACCGUCGCUGGUACACGGUAAAGCCACAAAUUUGGUCCGUCGCUGGUACACGGUAAAGCCACAAAUUUGGCCCGUCGCUGGUACACGGUAAAGCCACAAAUUUGGCCCGUCGCUGGUACACGGUAAAGCCACAAAUUUGGCCCGUCGCUGGUACACGGUAAAGCCACAAAUUUGGCCCGUCGCUGGUACACGGUAAAGCCACAAAUUUGGACCGUCGCUGGUACAAGGUAAAGCCACAAAUUUGGCCCGUCGCUGGUACACGGUAAAGCCACAAAUUUGGCCCGUCGCUGGUACACGGUAAAGCCACAAAUUUGGCCCGUCGCUGGUACACGGUAAAGCCACAAAUUUGGCCCGUCGCUGGUACACGGUAAAGCCACAAAUUUGGUCCGUCGCUGCUACCGGGGUAAUGAGCCUGGAAAUUACCCUCAAGUAGCUAUCAUCAACACCUGUCAUCUCCACUACCUUCUUUCAACUAAAUAUGGAAAGGGUUAAUGAAUUCUCAACACCAUUUCUUCCUCGCGGGGAAUCCACCAUCAUCACCAUCACCAUCAACAAGCCCCUCGCGUACCCCUGAUCAGGUUGCAUAGAUAUUCCCUCACGACCGUAGAUUCUCCCUCAUUCCCUCCCUCCCUCCCUUUCUCCCUCGAUGGCUUCCCUUCCCUUCCCAUAGCUCACCUCACCUUACCUAUCCAUUAUCCAUAUUAGGCUUACGAGCGGGACAGGUGAGAAAGGUGAGUGAAGGGCCUCCUAUUUUACCUUACCUAUCAUACCUUGCUUACCUACGCCUACCUUUACCGAUACUUCCCUUGCUUACCUUAACUAUAUGCUAUG